rnacentral:rRNA from 1 species
GACGAACCGUCCUAACGUUGUUCGGAAUCACUGGGCUUAAAGGGCGCGUAGGCGGGCUGCCAAGUCAGGGGUGAAAUCUUUCGGCCCAACCGGAAAAGUGCUUCUGAUACUGGCAGUCUCGAGUGAGGUAGGGGCGCGUGGAACUGGUGGUGGAGCGGUGAAAUGCGUAGAUAUCACUAGGAACGCCGGUGGCGAAAGCGACGCGCUGGACCUUUUCUGACGCUGAGGCGCGAAAGCCAGGGGAGCAAACGGG